rnacentral:rRNA from 1 species
AGCAGCCGCGGUAAUUCCAGCUCCAAUAGCGUAUAUUAAAGUUGUUGCAGUUAAAAAAGCUCAUAGUUGAAUUUCGGGAUCAGUACGCCGGUCGUGCCUUCGGUACGUACUGGUGUCACUGAUUCCUCCCUUCUGACGAACCGUCAUGCCAUUCACUUGGUGUGGCGGGGAAUCAGGACUGUUACUUUGAAAAAAUUAGAGUGUUUAAAGCAGGCUCACGCUUGAAUACAUUAGCAUGGAUAAUGAAAUAGGACGUUGAUCUUAUUUUGUUGGUUUCUAGGAUUGACGUAAUGAUUGAUAGGGAUAGUUGGGGGCAUUAGUAUUCAAUUGUCAGAGGUGUAAUUCUUGGAUUUAUUGAAGACUAACUACUGCGAAAGCAUUUGCCAAGGAUGUUUUCAUUAAUCAGUGAACGAAGUUAGGGAUCGAAGACGAUCAGAUACCGUCGUAGUCUUAACCAUAAACUAUGCCGACUAGGGAUCGGGCGAAGUU